AGAGUUUGAUCAUGGCUCAGGAUGAACGCUAGCGGCAGGCCUAAUACAUGCAAGCUGAACGGUAAAUAUUGUAGCAAUACGAUAUGAGAGUAGCGUAAGGGUGCGUAACACGUAUGCAAUCUGCCCUGUACAGGAGGAUAGCUCGGGGAAACUCGGAUUAAUACUCCGUAAUAUUAUUGGGAGGCAUCUUUUGAUAAUUAAAGUCGCAAGACGGUACGGGAUGAGCAUGCGUCUGAUUAGCUAGUUGGAGGUGUAAUGGACCCCCAAGGCGAUGAUCAGUAGGGGAACUGAGAGGUUGAUCCCCCACACUGGCACUGAGAUACGGGCCAGACUCCUACGGGAGGCAGCAGUAGGGAAUAUUGGUCAAUGGAUGCAAGUCUGAACCAGCCAUGCCGCGUGCAGGAAGACGGCCUUCUGGGUUGUAAACUGCUUUUGCCAGGGGAUAAAAUGGGAGUGCGCUCCUAAUUGAAGGUACCUGGUGAAUAAGCCACGGCUAACUACGUGCCAGCAGCCGCGGUAAUUC
rnacentral:rRNA from 1 species